UUGCUCUGUCGGUCCUGAUAUAAACAUAUAAGGAACAUAGACUGCUCUUUCUUGUGUACGACGAUUGCCAAAGACGCGGGUGUUUAGUUUCUUGAGGAACGUAAUUCGUCUCUUGUUAACUGGAGAGAUCUAUUACUACAUCUGAACUCUUAGCAACUGUAGAAUGUUGAUGUCUCGCACACGAACAAGUUAAAACUGUUUUUUAUUAACACUUAAAUUAGUUCAACGUCUCGUUUCUGCAGUUAAAAAAAUCUUACCUAAGUCAUGGCUGUACGUCUUCAAUUUGAAAAUAAUAACGAAAUAGGAGUUUUUUCUAAACUCACAAAUUCGUAUUGCCUUGUGGCUAUUGGUGGAUCUGAAAAUUUUUAUAGUGUUUACGAAGCAGAACUGGCUGAUGUUAUUCCAGUAAUACACACAUCUUUAGCAGGAUGUCGAAUAAUUGGCCGUUUGUGUG